CUGAACUGUGAUGGAUGUUUACUGGUGUGUUGUAUAACAUUAGACAGUAUAUUAAAGAGUGGUAAUAUUGUUUAUAAGAAGUAUAGAAUCAAAGGCACCAACUGUAAGAAUUCUUACGCAUGGCAUCAGCGAAGGGGCGGCUGCAGUUGGAGAAAAACGACCUCUGCAGGAUGACCGUGGCUUUCCUCAUUGAGAACCGAAAACCUGACAAUUUAAAACGAUCGAGCGAAACCAUGGUACGCAAAUACAAGAGGAAACGAGCUGGGGUCACGGCAGGAGAGAUCAAACGGCAGGCCUUAGAACAUUAUAACAGAUUCAAUGAAUGAUUGCCCUUCCACGAUAUCUACAUCUGCUAACUCUGCUACGCCUUCUGCAUCUGUUAACGAGCGUGAAUCAUUGUCACCUACAAAAAGUUCA